GCUUGUUCAACAUUUCCUCCAUGAAUAUCAGUAAGCAUUUGAUGGUUUUGCCUCAAAAUCUCAUCUUGAUGCUCAUCACUAUCUUUGCUUCCCAUGUACACCACAUAUAACUUGGUAGAAGAGCAGAGACUAAUUUCUCCAAGAAAAACACUAACAAAUAGUAAAAAAAGAGUCUUUUUUGAAACACCCAUCUCCUAUCUUGAUGUAUAAGGCUAGUAAAAGAAUGUAUUAUCAACUACAAGAUGAA
rnacentral:misc_RNA from 1 species